rnacentral:rRNA from 1 species
GACGGAGGAUGCAAGCGUUAUCCGGAGUUAUUGGGCGUAAAGCGUCCGCAGGUGGUGUUUCAAGUCUGCCGUUAAAGACCGGGGCUCAACCCCAGAAAGGCGGUGGAAACUGAAAGACUAGAGUGCGGUAGGGGCAGAGGGAAUUCCCGGUGUAGCGGUGAAAUGCGUAGAGAUCGGGAAGAACACCGGUGGCGAAAGCGCUCUGCUGGGCCGCAACUGACACUCAGGGACGAAAGCUAGGGGAGCGAAUGGG